rnacentral:rRNA from 1 species
AGAGUUUGAUCAUGGCUCAGAACGAACGCUUGCUGCAUGCUUUAUACAUGCAAGUCGAACGAAGGCCCUAGCUUGCUAGGUGUCCUUAGUGGCGCACGGGUGAGUAACACGUGGGAACAUACCUUAUAGUACGGAAUAACUGCGGGAAACUGUAGCUAAUACCGUAUACUCCAGUAAUGGGAAAGAUUUAUCGCUAUAAGAUUGGCCCGCGCAAGAUUAGCUUGUUGGUGAGGUAAAAGCUCACCAAGGCUUCGAUCUUUAGCUGGUUUGAGAGGAUGAUCAGCCACACUGGGACUGAGACACGGCCCAGACUCCUACGGGAGGCAGCAGUAGGGAAUAUUGGACAAUGGGGGCAACCCUGAUCCAGCAAUGCAGCGUGAGUGACGAAGGCCAUAGGGUUGUAAAACUCUUUCAUCGGUGAGGAUAAUGACAGUAGCCGAAGAAGAAGGACCGGCUAAUUCCGCGCCAGCAGCCGCGGUAAUACGGAAGGUCCUAGCGUUGUUCGGAAUUACUGGGCGCAAAGCGCAUGUAGGCGGAACAGAAAGUUAGAAGUGAAAUCCCUGGGCUCAACCUAGGAAUUGCUUUUAAAACUUCUGUUCUGGAAUUCAGGAGAGGAAAAUGGAAUUUCCAGUGUAGAGGUGAAAUUCGUAGAUAUUGGAAGGAACACCAGUGGCGAAGGCGAUUUUCUGGACUGAUAUUGACGCUGAGAUGCGAAGGCAUGGGUAGCAAACGGGAUUAGAUACCCCGGUAGUCCAUGCAGUAAACGAUGGGUGCUAGUCGUCGGACUUUUGUUCGGUGUCGUAGCUAACGCGUUAAGCACCCCGCCUGGGGAGUACGGUCGCAAGAUUAAAACUCAAAUAAAUUGACGGGGACCCGCACAAGCAGUGGAG